GACGGAGGGGGCUAGCGUUGUUCGGAAUUACUGGGCGUAAAGAGCACGUAGGCGGCGGUGCAAGUUGGGGGUGAAAUCCCAGGGCUCAACCCUGGAAUUGCCUCCAAAACUGUGCUGCUUGAGUUCGGAAGAGGAGAGUGGAAUUCCCAGUGUAGAGGUGAAAUUCGUAGAUAUUGGGAAGAACACCAGUGGCGAAGGCGGCCACCUGGACAGUAACUGACGCUGAGGCGCGAAAGCGUGGGUAGCAAACAGG
rnacentral:rRNA from 1 species